rfam:Gossypium raimondii chromosome 9, whole genome shotgun sequence.
AUCCCAUGAUGAGGACACUUACGAAGUAACUCCUUGAAUCACUCCCAAGUCUCAUCCAAAGAGUCAUCAUUCAAUUGUUGGAAUGUUGUGAUCUCGUUCCUUAAUAU